GGGGAUAAUUAAUAAAAAAAAAAUAUAAUAAAAGAAUUUUUAAAUUAAAAAAUAUUAUGGGGGUUAAAGUAAUUUUUUUAAGGAAAAAAUGGAAAAAUUUAUAGUAAAUUAGUAUAGUGAUAGAAUUUUGAAAUAAAUUGAAAAAUAAAUUAAUAGAAAAGUAAAUUUAAUUUAUUGUAUCUUGUGUAUCAGAGUUUAUUUAAAAAAGAUUAUAUUUUUGUAAUAUUCUCGAAUUAAAAAGUGAUAAUUAAUUAAAAAAGUUAUUGUAGCAAAAAUAUUUUAAAUAAUUAAUUUGAAAUGAAAUGUUAAUCGUUUUUUAAGAUAUCUAGUUUUUUUAGAAAAAAAUUUAAUUUUAUAUUUAUUUAAUUAAAAAAUUAAUUAAUUAAUUUUUUGAAAAUGAAAUAUAAUAUUUUAGGGGAUAAGCUUUAAAAUAAAAAGUUAUAAUAAAAAUUAAAAUAAUAAAAAUUUUAAAAUUUAUAUUAUUAAAAUUUUAAUUUGUUAUAAAUAAUUUAAUUAAAAAUAAAAUUUUAAUUUAUUUAAUUUUUUAUAAAAAAAUGAUUUUUAAUAAAUUUAAAAUUAAAAAUAAUGAUAAAAUUAGUAUAUUAAAAUAUUUAAAAAUAAAUAAUUAUUAAAUAAAUAAUUUAAAGGAAUUCGGCAAAAUUUUAUAUUCACUUGUUUAUCAAAAACAUGUCUUUUUUGAAAAUGAUUUAAAGUCGGAUCUGCCCACUGAUAAGUUAUUAAAAGGGCUGCAGUAUAUUGACUGUACAAAGGUAGCAUAAUCAUUAGUCUCUUAAUUGGUGACUUGUAUGAAUGAUUUGCUGAAAUAUAAGCUGUCUCUAAAUUAAUAAUAAAAUUUAAUUUUUUAAUUAAAAAGUUAAAAUAAAUUUAAAAGACGAGAAGACCCUAUAGAGUUUUAUAAGUUUUAAUUAUUGAAAUUAUAUAUUUAUAAAAUAAUUGAGAUUUUAAAAUUUAUUUUAUUGGGGGGAUAAAAAAAUAAAAUAAACUUUUUUAUAAAAAAAAAACAUAAAUAAUUGAUUAAAUGAUCCAAAUAUUUUGAUUAUUAGAAAAAAUUACCUUAGGGAUAACAGCGUAAUUUUUUUUUUUAGUUCAAAUAAAAAAAAGAGUUUGCGACCUCGAUGUUGGAUUAAGAUAAAAUUUAAAUGCAAAAGUUUAAAAUUUUGAUCUGUUCGAUCAUUAAAAUCUUACAUGAUCUGAGUUCAAACCGGUGUGAGCCAGGUUGGUUUCUAUCUUUAAGAAAGGAAAAUAUUUUAGUACGAAAGGAGUAAGUAUUUAAAUUAAAUUUUAAUUGAAGAAUAUUAUUAAAAAAAAAUUAAAAUAUAAUA
rnacentral:rRNA from 1 species